rnacentral:rRNA from 1 species
GACGUAGGGCGCGAGCGUUGUCCGGAUUUAUUGGGCGUAAAGAGCUCGUAGGCGGCUCGUUGCGUCGGCUGUGAAAACCCGCAGCUUAACUGUGGGCUUGCGGUCGAUACGGGCAUCACUGGAGUUCGGCAGGGGAGACUGGAAUUCCUGGUGUAGCGGUGAAAUGCGCAGAUAUCAGGAGGAACACCGGUGGCGAAGGCGGGUCUCUGGGCCGAUACUGACGCUGAGGAGCGAAAGCGUGGGGAGCGAACAGG